UACAGAGGGGGCAAGCGUUGUUCGGAAUUACUGGGCGUAAAGGGCGCGUAGGCGGCCCGCUAAGUCGAACGUGAAAUCCCCGGGCUCAACCCGGGAACUGCGUCCGAUACUGGCGGGCUUGAAUCCGGGAGAGGGAUGCGGAAUUCCAGGUGUAGCGGUGAAAUGCGUAGAUAUCUGGAGGAACACCGGUGGCGAAGGCGGCAUCCUGGACCGGCAUUGACGCUGAGGCGCGAAAGCCAGGGGAGCAAAGCGGG
rnacentral:rRNA from 1 species